rnacentral:rRNA from 1 species
CUAUCAUACUUUGGAACCUUUGUUUUUGUGUUCUAUUUGCACAUGAUGUUCCAUAUAUUAGGGAGUGCCAACACUCUGUCACAAGCAUUGCAACAAAAGGAUCAAGAUAUCUUGAAUGCAAUGUCAUGUGUGAAGUCAACAAGGAAUGAUCUACAACAACUAAGAGAUAAUGGGUGGGAGUCACUUUUGGAGAAGGUAUAUUCAUUCUGUGAAGAACAUGACAUUCCAAAACUAAACAUGCAUGAUGAAUACGUCAAUCGACAUAAUACAUGAAAAAGAACCAAUAUAACAAACCUGCAUCAUUAUCAAAUAGAGUGUCUUAACACUGUUAUUGAUUGGCAACUUCAAGAGUUUGAUGAUAGAUUCAAUGAAGUAAAUUCUGCAUUGCUUAUUCACAUGGCUUCUUUCAACCCAAAAAACUCUUUCGCUGCUUUUAACUUGGAGAGUUUGUUGAAGCUAGCUGAGUUUUAUCCUGAGGAUUUCAAUUCAUCAAAAUUGUUGGAUCUUGGACAUGAACUUCGGAUUUUCAUUGACAAUGUCCGAGCAGACCAAAGAUUUGCCAAUUUGGAUGGCAUUGCGGAUCUUGCUAAAAAGUUGGUGGACACUAAGAAGCAUCUUGCUUUCCCUUUGGUGUAUCAACUUCUAAAGCUAGUGCUAAUUUUGCCGGUUCAUGAGUGA